GAUGAACGCUGGCGGCGUGCUUAACACAUGCAAGUCGAACGGAAAGGCUCCUGCUUGCAGGGGUACUCGAGUGGCGAACGGGUGAGUAACACGUGGGUGAUCUGCCCUGCACUUCGGGAUAAGCCUGGGAAACUGGGUCUAAUACCGGAUAGGACGAUGGUUUGGAUGCCAUUGUGGAAAGUUUUUCGGUGUGGGAUGAGCUCGCGGCCUAUCAGCUUGUUGGUGGGGUAAUGGCCUACCAAGGCGUCGACGGGUAGCCGGCCUGAGAGGGUGUACGGCCACAUUGGGACUGAGAGACGGCCCAGAAUCAUACGGGAGGCAGCAGUGGGGAAUAUUGCACAAUGGGCGCAAGCCUGAUGCAGAGACGCCGGGUGGGGGAUGACGGCCUUCGGGUUGUAAACUCAUGUCGAUAGGGACGAAGCGCAAGUGACGGUACCUGGAGAAGAAGCACCGGCUAACUACGUG
rnacentral:rRNA from 1 species